rnacentral:lncRNA from 1 species
CAGCAAUCCACUGGACACCCCCCACCCCGCUCCUCUGUACAGCCACCUGGUUCCAAACUACAAAGACGCAGAGGACACCAGACUACCAGACCACUGUACUGAAGAAAGUUCAGCCACAAAGUCUGAAGAAGAACUGCACUUCUGGGUCAUGUUUGGAAAUUCCACACAGUAUUAAAACCAGAUCUAGUCAGUCAACAACAACAACAAAGAAGGAAGAAUGUUGGAUUUUUUUUUUUUUGACCACGUAUCACUUUUUGAAUAUCCCCCUUGUGCCAGUCAUUAUGGCAAGAAAUUUAUAUUCAGAUAAAC